rnacentral:rRNA from 1 species
GGGUUGUGAGGUUAAGCGACUAAGCGUACACGGUGGAUGCCCUGGCAGUCAGAGGCGAUGAAGGACGUGCUAAUCUGCGAUAAGCGUCGGUAAGGUGAUAUGAACCGUUAUAACCGGCGAUUUCCGAAUGGGGAAACCCAGUGUGAUUCGUCACACUAUCAUUAACUGAAUCCAUAGGUUAAUGAGGCGAACCGGGGGAACUGAAACAUCUAAGUACCCCGAGGAAAAGAAAUCAACCGAGAUUCCCCCAGUAGCGGCGAGCGAACGGGGAGGAGCCCAGAGCCUGAAUCAGUGUGUGUGUUAGUGGAAGCGUCUGGAAAGGCGCGCGAUACAGGGUGACAGCCCCGUACACAAAAAUGCACAUGCUGUGAGCUCGAUGAG